AGGCAUCCCUUUCUUCUCAACUAAAACAGUUAUAUUUGCGUUUUUGCAGAGGCAUCCCUUUCUUCUCAACUAAAACAGUUCUAUUUGUGUUUUUACAGAGGCAUCCCUUUCUUCUCAAAUUAAACAGUUCUAUUUGUGUUUUUACAGAGGCAUCCCUUUCUUCUCAACUAAAACAGUUCUAUUUGUGUUUGUACAGAGUCUUCUCAACUAAAACAGUUCUAUUUGUGUUUUUACAGAGGCAUCCCUUUCUUCUCAACUAAAACAGUUCUAUUUGCGUUUUUACAGAGGCAUCCCUUUCUUCUCAACUAAAACAGUUCUAUUUGCGUUUUUACAGAGGCAUCCCUUUCUUCUCAACUAAAACAGUUCUAUUUGCGUUUUUACAGAGGCAUCCCUUUCUUCUCAACUAAAACAGUUAUAUUUUUUAUUUUACAGAGGCAUCCCUUUCUUCUCAAAUUAAACAGUUCUAUUUGUGUUUUUCUCUUCUGUUCCAGUACCAACACCUGUGUCACAGACAGUCCAUUCUGCUGUUCCACUACUGAUGCUAAGGCUGUUGUUGAUGCCGCAUGUGUUUUUGGCCCUGAAGACCCUAUUCCAAGUGCAGUUGACAAAUGGUUCUAUGUCUAAGUGAACUGACCCAGAAAGAAGAGCCUUCAGAUUGGAGCAAAAUGUUUUCUCACCUGAACGGAAGAAUCUACUUGAAAAUGACAGAAAACACGUGUAGUAUAAUUACAGUUUCCCAUUUUUAGUAUGAAUUGUGAUUGAUGCUUGUCCUCUUAGCAUGACAAGUACUCAACCAAGUAAGCCAGUUCUUUAUGUUUAUUAUAUUUCUCAAAUGUGUAACAAUAUGACCUUUAUAGUCCUUUAUAAACCUCUGCAGUUUGCCGUGUCUUGCAUCAUGUUGUUUGAUACUGAAAUCGGAAAAUUGUCAUAAAUCUUCAAAUAAAUACCAUCAGCACAUCAUCCCCCUCCUCCGGUUCUGAACACGGUCUUUACUCGUAUCUAGUGGUCCUGCAUCACAACACAAGCCCUUAUAGCAGACAGAAGAAAAGCUGUUUGAACCGGUGUGUUGAAUAAAAUCGGUUUCCUUGAAGUUGGCUCUUACCCGGAAAUCACACCGUGAAAAGAACUGCUGAAGAAUCACUCCAUCCAACACUCCUUCACUGCCAAGAGGAAACGAUGGGAGCUACUAGAUGCAAUGUCUAAAUAUAAUGCCUAUGAUAUAAUGCAGAGGAUGUGAGGUAUUUUAUGGGAAAGGUAGGUGAAAGGUGAACGCCGUAAACCCUAUUUAUU
rnacentral:lncRNA from 13 species